AAUAGAUACCCCGGUAGUCCAUGCCGUAAACGUUGGGAACUAGAUGUAGGGCCUGUUCCACGGGUUCUGUGUCGUAGCUAACGCAUUAAGUUCCCCGCCUGGGGAGUACGGCCGCAAGGCUAAAACUCAAAGGAAUUGACGGGGGCCCGCACAAGCGGCGGAGCAUGCGGAUUAAUUCGAUGCAACGCGAAGAACCUUACCAAGGCUUGACAUAUAGAAGAACACUGCAGAGAUGCAGGACUCUUUGGACACUUCUAUACAGGUGGUGCAUGGUUGUCGUCAGCUCGUGUCGUGAGAUGUUCGGUUAAGUCCGGCAACGAGCGCAACCCUCGUCCUAUGUUGCCAGCACGUUAUGGUGGGAACUCAUGGGAUACUGCCGUGGUCAACACGGAGGAAGGUGGGGAUGACGUCAAAUCAUCAUGCCCCUUAUGUCUUGGGCUUCACGCAUGCUACAAUGGCCGGUACAAAGGGCUGCGAUACCGCAAGGUGGAGCGAAUCCCAAAAAGCCGGUCUCAGUUCGGAUUGGGGU
rnacentral:rRNA from 1 species